rnacentral:rRNA from 1 species
UACAGAGGGGGCAAGCGUUGUUCGGAAUUACUGGGCGUAAAGGGCGCGUAGGCGGCCUGUUAAGUCGAACGUGAAAUCCCCGGGCUCAACCCGGGAACUGCGUCCGAUACUGGCAGGCUUGAAUCCGGGAGAGGGAUGCGGAAUUCCAGGUGUAGCGGUGAAAUGCGUAGAUAUCUGGAGGAACACCGGAGGCGAAGGCGGAUCACUGGACUGCCACUGACGCUGAGGCGCGAAAGCUAGGGGAGCAAACAGG